rnacentral:rRNA from 1 species
AGUGAACGCUGGCGGUAGGCCUAACACAUGCAAGUCGAACGGCAGCACAGUAAGAGCUUGCUCUUACGGGUGGCGAGUGGCGGACGGGUGAGGAAUACAUCGGAAUCUACUUUUUCGUGGGGGAUAACGUAGGGAAACUUACGCUAAUACCGCAUACGACCUACGGGUGAAAGCAGGGGAUCUUCGGACCUUGCGCGAUUGAAUGAGCCGAUGUCGGAUUAGCUAGUUGGCGGGGUAAAGGCCCACCAAGGCGACGAUCCGUAGCUGGUCUGAGAGGAUGAUGAGCCACAAUGGAACUGAGACACGGUCCAGACUCCUACGGGAGGCAGCAGUGGGGAAUAUUGGACAAUGGGCGCAAGCCUGAUCCAGCCAUACCGCGUGGGUGAAGAAGGCCUUCGGGUUGUAAAGCCCUUUUGUUGGGAAAGAAAAGCAGCAGGUUAAUACCCCGCUGUUCUGACGGUACCCAAAGAAUAAGCACCGGCUAACUUCGUG